rnacentral:lncRNA from 1 species
UUAGCUUGGGCUAUCCUUCAUAAGAAUCCACUCAUUACUUGAUGUUUUGCUAUAGAUUAGUUGUUGUUAAUACCUUGAUACUUGUAUGUUCAUGACCCUCCUUGUUGUUUAUAACAACAAGUGUAGUGGUGAACAAUAGAGGUGCCUAAAUGGAAGCUUGUUCUUCCUACCUCAUGUAUGUAUUCUAUGACACAAAGAGGUACCUAAAUGGAGACAUUAAUCUCCUACCUCAUGCUUGAAUCAUAAGACUUGUAAACUAUAUAAUAUCUAAGUUAUUCUAUAUGUAUACAUCUAAGUAACUAAGACUUGAUGAUGACUUAAUAGUUAUUUGUUAAGUGGACGUUACAUCAUCUAUGACCAUGCCCUUGUUACGACUCUAAUGGAUCUUAGAAUCCAUGAAAUCAUACCAACUCUUUUGAGUUUCAAUAGUGUCAAGAACAAGAGUUAUGCGUACAAGAUGAUUAUUUUCACCUAUGUUACUUUCUAUAUAUUAAAAACUCCGAAUCUAUAAUCUUCCGUUAUACGCCAAACUCACACACCUACGUUUCCUUGUACACAUGCCAUAUUUAAGGGUUUUACCCACAAGUAAUGUUCAAGUGUGAAACUUGUUGAAUGUGUGAUGGUUGGAUUAGCUUGGGCUAUCCUUCAUAAGAAUCCACUCAUUACUUGAUGUUUUGCUAUAGAUUAGUUGUUGUUAAUACCUUGAUACUUGUAUGUUCAUGACCCUCCUUGUUGUUUAUAACAACAAGUGUAGUGGUGAACAAUAGAGGUGCCUAAAUGGAAGCUUGUUCUUCCUACCUCAUGUAUGUAUUCUAUGACACAAAGAGGUACCUAAAUGGAGACAUUAAUCUCCUACCUCAUGCUUGAAUCAUAAGACUUGUAAACUAUAUAAUAUCUAAGUUAUUCUAUAUGUAUACAUCUAAGUAACUAAGACUUGAUGAUGACUUAAUAGUUAUUUGUUAAGUGGACGUUACAUCAUCUAUGACCAUGCCCUUGUUACGACUCUAAUGGAUCUUAGAAUCCAUGAAAUCAUACCAACUCUUUUGAGUUUCAAUAGUGUCAAGAACAAGAGUUAUGCGUACAAGAUGAUUAUUUUCACCUAUGUUACUUUCUAUAUAUUAAAAACUCCGAAUCUAUAAUCUUCCGUUAUACGCCAAACUCACACACCUACGUUUCCUUGUGUAGAAGGACAAGGUGCUCCGAACUAAUUCAUCUACAAACUUGCUCUCGGAAUUUCAAGUCACCACUUGUAAACCGUGAGUAUACUCGUAUUUCCCCCUUUUUACUUUUACCACUUUUGG